rnacentral:rRNA from 2 species
UACAGAGGUCUCAAGCGUUGUUCGGAAUCACUGGGCGUAAAGGGUGCGUAGGCGGCGGGGAAAGUCAGAUGUGAAAUCCGGAGGCUCAACCUCCGAAUUGCAUCCGAUACUCCCUCGCUAGAGAUUUGUAGAGGAGCUUGGAAUUCUCGGUGUAGCAGUGAAAUGCGUAGAUAUCGAGAAGAACGCUCGCAGCGAAAGCGAAGCUCUGGGCAAAUUCUGACGCUGAUGCACGAAGGCUAGGGGAGCAAACGGG